UUUUGGUGUUUUAAAUUAGGGUUAGGAAUUAGGUUCAACAGUGUGUUAGGCAUUAGGUUCAACAGUGUGUUAGGCAUUAGGUUCAACAGUGUGGUUAGGCAUUAGGUUCAACAGUGUGUUAGGCAUUAGGUUCAACAGUGUAGUUAGGCAUUAGGUUCAACAGUGUAGUUAGGCAUUAGGUUCAACAGUGUAGUUAGGCAUUCGGUUCAACAGUGUGGUUAGGCAUUAGGUUCAACAGUGUGUUAGGCAUUAGGUUCAACAGUGUGGUUAUAGUUAGGCAUUCGGUUCAACAGUGUGGUUAGGCAUUAGGUUCAACAGUGUGUUAGGCAUUAGGUUCAACAGUGUGGUUAGGGUUAGGCAUUCGGUUCAACAGUGUGUUAGGCAUUAGGUUCAACAGUGUGUUAGGCA
ensembl:lncRNA